GACGAACGCUGGCGGCGUGCCUAAUACAUGCAAGUCGAACGCUGAAGGAGGAGCUUGCUUCUCUGGAUGAGUUGCGAACGGGUGAGUAACGCGUAGGUAACCUGCCUGGUAGCGGGGGAUAACUAUUGGAAACGAUAGCUAAUACCGCAUAAGAGUAGAUGUUGCAUGACAUUUGCUUAAAAGUUGCAAUUGCAUCACUACCAGAUGGACCUGCGUUGUAUUAGCUAGUUGGUGGGGUAACGGCUCACCAAGGCGACGAUACAUAGCCGUCCUGAGAGGGUGAUCGGCCACACUGGGACUGAGACACGGCCCAGACUCCUACGGGAGGCAGCAGUAGGGAAUCUUCGGCAAUGGACGGAAGUCUGACCGAGCAACGCCGCGUGAGUGAAGAAGGGUUUCGGAUCGUAAAGCUCUGUUGUAAGAGAAGAACGAGUGUGAGAGUGGAAAGUUCACACUGUGACGGUAUCUUACCAGAAAGGGACGGCUAACUACGUG
rnacentral:rRNA from 1 species